rnacentral:rRNA from 1 species
UAAGCGAAGCCGAAGCGAAAGCGAGUCUGAAUAGGGCGUUUAGUUGUUGGAGGUAGACCCGAAACCGAGUGAUCUAUCCAUGGCCAGGUUGAAGCGCGAGUAAGAUCGCGUGGAGGACCGAACCCACCAAAGUUGAAAAUUUGGGGGAUGAGCUGUGGAUAGGGGUGAAAGGCCAAUCAAACUUGGAUAUAGCUGGUUUUCCGCGAA